GGAUGUGAUCAUUCUAGCAGUAACGCACCGGAUCCCAUCAGAACUCCGAAAUUAAGCGCGCUUAGGCGAGAGUAGUACUAGGAUGGGUGAUCCCUUGUGAAGUCCUCGUGUUGCAUCCC
rnacentral:rRNA from 1 species